UACGAUAACUAAUCGUAUCUCGGAUUGGAUUGAACAAUGGUACUCAACGAUCUUGCUUCUCUUCUUCCAAAGUCACUUUGAUGCACAAGGUAGCUCCGAUUUCUUUUAAAGAUAAGAUUCAUACACAUAACUGUAAUAGUUAAUUAAUUUAUUGUAAGAAAUAAAAAGGAUGAAAAGAAAUGUAAUAUACUGCAUUUUAAAAUCAGCGUAUUUAUUAGCGUAUAUAUUAACAAAUAAAUUAUUGUCCAUUAAUUACAUGAGAGUUAAUGUGUAUGAUAAAAUGAAAAUAUAUAUUUCGUAUUUAUAAAGUCGUAUAAGUGUAAUAAUACAUAUUAUAGCAAUUAGAGCACUGUGAUUCGCUACGUUCACAAGAUAGUUUUACAUAUAGCAUUGCGUAUAACAAUUUUUGUAUGUACGUUAAAAAUUUUGCAAGCAAUAGGCCAUUGCACGUCCGGAAUGUUAUCACUGGCUGUAAAGAUCCAACCAUAAGUUUGGUCUCUAGAAUAUCAUCGAUUGAACGCAGGAAAUUGUACAGGAGCAAAUUCUGGUAAGCUUAUGCAAAUCCAAAUUCUUUGGUGCAUUCGUAAGUCGCCUUGAGUAGAUUUGUUCAGAGUUUAUCAAACGUCUCGUACACUGGCAAAUCCAGUUGAUUGAAACUAAAUUAAAAAAUACAAUUUUAGUCUUGUAAUUUUAUAUCAAUUUAAUUUUAACUUAUACACACAUAUGACAAGGUAUUAAAACAAUUUCUUUUUUCAUAUAUUUACCAAAUAUGUGCAAAUGAAAGCCUGUCUGUCAACUUGUCUUUUCUGUGAAUUUGGAACUUUUGUAUGCCGUUCAUGCCUUUUAACGCAGCAAAACCUUGUAACGACACUUUAGAUGUACUAGUGAUGAAUUGUAAGAACUUCGAACAAUCCGCUUGAUUAAAACCUCGCAAUGCAGCAGAACCAUUGAAUCU